rnacentral:rRNA from 1 species
UACGUAGGGUGCGAGCGUUAAUCGGAAUUACUGGGCGUAAAGCGUGCGCAGGCGGUGAUGUAAGACCGAUGUGAAAUCCCCGGGCUUAACCUGGGAACUGCAUUGGUGACUGCAUCGCUCGAGUAUGGCAGAGGGGGUAGAAUUCCACGUGUAGCAGUGAAAUGCGUAGAGAUGUGGAGGAAUACCGAUGGCGAAGGCAGCCCCUGGGUCAUACGUGACGCUCAUGCACGAAAGCGUGGGAGCAAACAGG